UACGUAGGGACCAAGCGUUGUUCGGAUUUACUGGGCGUAAAGGGCGCGUAGGCGGCAAUUCAAGUCAUCUGUGAAAUCUCCGGGCUUAACUCGGAACGGUCAGGUGAUACUGCUUUGCUAGAGUGCAGAAGGGGCAAUCGGAAUUCUUGGUGUAGCGGUGAAAUGCGUAGAUAUCAAGAGGAACACCUGAGGUGAAGACGGGUUGCUGGGCUGACACGUGACGCUGGAGGCGCGAAAGCUAGGGGAGCAAACGGG
rnacentral:rRNA from 1 species